AUGAGGCCAGGCAGGAAAACUCUAGCUACAGAUUACCGAUUCGCCAGCAAAGUGCUGAAUGGGAUCUGUGCCUACCUCAAUAGACAUUGGGUUCGCCGCGAAUGUGAUGAAGGACGGAAAGGAAUAUAUGAAAUCUAUUCACUUGCGUUAGUGACGUGGAGAGAUUGUUUGUUCAGGCCACUGAAUAAACAGGUAACAAAUGCUGUUUUAAAACUGAUUGAAAAGGAAAGGAAUGGCAAAACCAUCAAUACGAGACUGAUUAGUGGAGUUGUACAAUCUUAUGUGGAAUUGGGGCCGAAUGAAGAUGAUGCAUUUGCAAAGGGCCCUACGUUAACAGUGUAUAAAGAAUCCUUUGAAUCUCAAUUGUUGGCUGACACGGAGAGAUUUUAUACCAGAGAAAGUACUGAAUUCUUGCAGCAGAACCCAGUUUACUGAAUAGAUGAAAAAGGCUGAGGCUCGUUUGCUGGAGGAGCAGUGGAGAGUGCAGGAUUACCUCCAUCAGAGCACACAAGACGAACUAACACGGAAAUGUGAGCAGGUCCUCAUCGAAAAACACUUGGAAAUUUUCCACACAGAGUUUCAGAAUUUGUUGGAUGCUGACAAGAAUGAAGAUUUGGGCCGCAUGUAUAAUCUUGUAUCUAGAAUUCAGGAUGGCCUAGGAGAAUUGAAAAAACUCCUAGAAACACAUAUUCAUAAUCAGGGUCUUGCAGCGAUUGAGAAGUGUGGAGAAGCUGCUUUAAAGGACCCCAAGAUGUAUGUGCAGACAGUUCUGGAUGUUCGUAAAAAGUGCAAUGCCCUAGUAAUAUCAGCAUUCAACAAGGACACUGGCUUCCUGUCCUCAAUCAAGUGAUGGUGGUCUUCAAGUACAUCGAGGACAAAGAUGUGUCUCAGAAGUUCUAUGCAAAGAUGCUUGCCAAGGGACCGGGGCAUCAGAACAGUGGAAGUGACCAUGCCGAAGCAAGCGCGAUCUCCGAGUUGAAGCAAGCUUGUGGUUUUGAGUACAUCUCCAAACUUCAGCGAAUGUUUCAAGACAUUGGUGUAAGCAAAGAUCUCGAUGAACAGUUCAAAAAGCACCUAACGACUUCAGAACCCCUGGACUUGGACUUCAGCAUCCAGGUCCUCAGUUCCGGGUCGUGGCCCUUCCUGCAGUCUUGCACGCUUGCCUUGCCGUCAGAGUUGGAGCGCAGUUAUCAGCGGUUCACAGUUUUCUACGCCAGCCGCCACAGUGGCAGAAAACUGACGCGGUUCUAUCAACUGUCCAAAGGCGAACUAGUCACUAAUUGCUUCAAAAAACAGAUAUACUUUGCAGGCCUCCACAUUCCAGACGGCGAUCCUGCUUCAGUACAGCACAGAAGACGCCUACACUGUGCAGCAGCUGACGGACAGUGCGCAGAUUAAGAUGGACAUUAUGGCCCAAGUCCUACAGAUUUUGCUGAAGUCAAAGUUGCUGGUCUUGGAAGACGAAAAUGCAAAUGUUGAUGAGGUGGAAUUGAAGCCAGACACCCUAAUAAAGUUAUAUCUUGGUUAUAAAAAUAAGAAAUUAAGGGUUAACAUCAACGUACCAAUGAAAACUGAACAGAAGCAGGAACAAGAGACCACACACAAAAAUAUAGAGGAAGACCGCAAACUACUGGUUCAGGCGGCCAUCGUGAGAAUCAUGAAAAUGAGGAAGGUCCUGAAACACCAGCAGUUACUUGGUGAAGUCCUCACUCAGCUGUCUUCCAGGUUCAAACCUCGGGUCCCAGGGAUCAAGAAAUGCAUUGAUAUUCUCAUCGAGAAAGAAUAUUUGGAACGAGUUGAUGGUGAGAAGGAUACCUACAGUUACUUGGCCUAACCCUUCUAGAAGGGUCUGUGACCCACAACAUAGUCCACUGAAUAGAAUGGAAGCAGCUCACGUUCAUAGCAGCCAGCCUGCCGCCAUUUGAACCUCCAUUUUUAACGCUGAGACCACAGUUCCCACCAGCUGGUCUCAGGCUACAGCCGGA